UACGGAGGGGGCUAGCGUUGUUCGGAAUUACUGGGCGUAAAGCGCACGUAGGCGGCUUUGCAAGUCAGAGGUGAAAGCCCGGGGCUCAACCCCGGAAUUGCCUUUGAGACCGCAUCGCUAGAAUUGUGGAGAGGUAAGUGGAAUUCCGAGUGUAGAGGUGAAAUUCGUAGAUAUUCGGAAGAACACCAGUGGCGAAGGCGACUUACUGGACACAUAUUGACGCUGAGGUGCGAAAGCGUGGGGAGCAAACAGG
rnacentral:rRNA from 1 species